rnacentral:piRNA from 1 species
AGCUUUGGGUGCUGACGGUGGGG